UGACAAGAGGAACCGCAGAAGUGUAC
rnacentral:piRNA from 1 species